UACGAAGGGGGCUAGCGUUGCUCGGAAUUACUGGGCGUAAAGCGCACGUAGGCGGCUCUUUAAGUCGGGGGUGAAAUCCUGGAGCUCAACUCCAGAACUGCCUUCGAUACUGAGAGUCUUCGAGUUCGGGAGAGGUGAGUGGAACUGCGAGUGUAGAGGUGAAAUUCGUAGAUAUUCGCAAGAACACCAGUGGCGAAGGCGGCUCACUGGCCCGAUACUGACGCUGAGGUGCGAAAGCGUGGGGAGCAAACAGG
rnacentral:rRNA from 1 species